GUUGUUUAGUUGAAAAUCAAUUCAAUAAUUUUUGAUUUUGAGUAGUAUUGACUUCAUCAGCUUGCUGCUUUCUUUUCAGAAAUUAUUGAAUGCACUUUUCAGUUAACAAGUCAACAUCAAUUUCUUUUGUUGUAAAAGGGUAAGAGGAAGGUGGCUUACGCUUCGGCGUAAGUGUUUAUAGCCUUUUACCUCUGCAAUCGGAGAGAUUGAGGACAGCAGCGUAGACUCUUCGGGGUUAGAUACACUUGUGCUAAGCUAUAGCCUUGUAUAGACAACUUGUUGACUAUGCUCAGUCAUGUAGCUUACUCGCUUGUGCUAUUUUACCUAC
rnacentral:rRNA from 1 species